GGACAGCAACCAUCAUGGCCUCAUCAAAUGGCAGGACAGCAGCCAUCAUGGCCUCGUGAAAUUCCAGGGCAGCAGUUAUCACAGUCUCUACAAACAAGACAGCCAUCAUCAUGGUCUUCUGAAAGAGGAGGACAUCAGCCACAAUUACCUUCUCAGAUGAGAGAGCAGCAGCCAUUUGCCUCCAAUAAUAUUGCAGGACCAGAGCCAUCAAGACCUUAUCAAACUGCAGGACAGCAGCCAUCAGGGUCUCAUCAAAUUCCAGGGCAGCAGUUAUCACAGUCUCCUCAAAUGGGACAGCCAGCAUCAUGGUCUUCCGAAAGAGGAGGACAUCAGCCACAAUUACCUUCCCAGAUGAGAGAGCAGCAUCAAUUUGCCUCCCAUAAUAUUGCAGGACCAGAGUCAUCAAGACCUUAUCAAAUUGCAGGACAGCAGCCAUUAGCCUCUAAUGAUAUUGCAGGACAGCAGCCAUUGAGACCUUAUCAAAUGGCAGGGCACCAGCCCUCAUGGUCCUCUCGGACGGGAGAACACCAGCCAUCAUGGUCCCCUCGGACGGGAGAGCACCAGCCAUCAUGGUCCUCUCGGAC
rnacentral:lncRNA from 1 species